GACGAACGCUGGCGGCGUGCUUAACACAUGCAAGUCGAACGGAAAGGCCCUGCUUUUGUGGGGUGCUCGAGUGGCGAACGGGUGAGUAACACGUGAGUAACCUGCCCUUGACUUUGGGAUAACUUCAGGAAACUGGGGCUAAUACCGGAUAUGAGCUCCUGCUGCAUGGUGGGGGUUGGAAAGUUUCGGCGGUUGGGGAUGGACUCGCGGCUUAUCAGCUUGUUGGUGGGGUAGUGGCUUACCAAGGCUUUGACGGGUAGCCGGCCUGAGAGGGUGACCGGCCAAAUGGGGACUGAGAUACGGCCCAGACUCCUACGGGAGGCAGCAGUGGGGAAUAUUGCACAAUGGGCGGAAGCCUGAUGCAGCAACGCCGCGUGCGGGAUGACGGCCUUCGGGUUGUAAACCGCUUUCGCCUGUGACGAAGCGUGAGUGACGGUAAUGGGUAAAGAAGCACCGGCUAACUACGU
rnacentral:rRNA from 1 species